rnacentral:rRNA from 1 species
GUAACGCGUGAGAAUCUGCCUUCAGGUCUGGGACAACCACUGGAAACGGUGGCUAAUACCGGAUGUGCCGAGAGGUGAAAGGUUAACUGCCUGAAGAUGAGCUCGCGUCUGAUUAGCUAGUAGGUGGUGUAAAGGACUACCUAGGCGACGAUCAGUAGCUGGUCUGAGAGGACGAUCAGCCACACUGGGACUGAGACACGGCCCAGACUCCUACGGGAGGCAGCAGUGGGGAAUUUUCCGCAAUGGGCGAAAGCCUGACGGAGCAAUACCGCGUGAGGGAGGAAGGCUCUUGGGUCGUAAACCUCUUUUCUCAGGGAAGAACACAAUGACGGUACCUGAGGAAUAAGCAUCGGCUAACUCCGUGCCAGCAGCCGCGGUAAUACGGAGGAUGCAAGCGUUAUCCGGAAUGAUUGGGCGUAAAGCGUCCGCAGGUGGCUAUGUAAGUCUGCUGUUAAAGAGUCUAGCUCAACUAGAUAAGAGCAGUGGAAACUACAUGGCUAGAGUGCGUUCGGGGCAGAGGGAAUUCCUGGUGUAGCGGUGAAAUGCGUAGAGAUCAGGAAGAACACCGGUGGCGAAGGCGCUCUGCUAGGCCGCAACUGACACUGAGGGACGAAAGCUAGGGGAGCGAAUGGGAUUAGAUA